rnacentral:rRNA from 1 species
UUUAUGGAGAGUUUGAUCCUGGCUCAGAGUGAACGCUGGCGGCGUGCCUAACACAUGCAAGUCGCGCGGGAUUUUACAGAGUAUCGUAAAGUCUAGCGGCAAACGGGUGAGUAACACGUGGGAAACCUCCCUUGAGAUGGGGAAUAUCUCCGGGAAACCGGAGUCAAUACCGCAUAAGACCACAGUUCGGCAUCGAACAGGGGUCAAAGCAGUAAUGCGUCUCAAGAUGGUCCUGCGGCCUAUCAGCUAGUUGGUGGGGUAACGGCCUACCAAGGCAAUGACGGGUAUCCGGCCUGAAAGGGUGAACGGACACACUGGAACUGAGACACGGUCCAGACUCCUACGGGAGGCAGCAGUGGGGAAUUUUGGACAAUGGGGGAAACCCUGAUCCAGCGA